GAGGGUAUAGCUCAGGGGUAGAAUGUGUGCUUAGCAUGCAUGAGGUCCUGGGUUCAAUUCUCAGCACCUCCC
rnacentral:tRNA from 1 species